rnacentral:rRNA from 1 species
CCUACGGGUGACAGCAGUGGGGAAUAUUGCACAAUGGGGGAAACUCUGAUGCAGCGACGCCGCGUGAGUGAAGAAGUAUUUCGGUAUGUAAAGCUCUAUCAGCAGGAACGAGACAAGACGGUCCCUGACUAAGAAGCCCCGGCUAACUACGUGCCAGCAGCCGCGGUAAUACGUAGGGGGCAAGCGUUAGCCGGAAUCACUGGGUGUAAAGGGAGCGUAGACGGCUGUGCAGGCCUGAAGUGAAAGGCGGGGGCCCAACCCCUAGACUGCUUUGGGAACUGUACGGCUGGAGUGCAGGUGCGGUAAGUGGAAUUCGUGGUGUAGCGGUGAAAUGCGUAGAUAUUAGGAAGAACACCAGUUGCGAAGGCGGCUUACUAAACUGUAACUGACGUUGAGGCUCGAAAGCGUGGGGAGCAAACAGGAUUAGAUACCCUUGUAGUC